rnacentral:rRNA from 1 species
UACGUAGGGGGCAAGUGUUGUCCGGAAUCAUUGGGCGUAAAGCGCACGUAGGCGGCCCGGUAAGUCCGUUGUGAAAGUCAGAGGCUCAACCUCUGGAGGCCAAUGGAUACUGCCGGGCUAGAGUCCGGAAGAGGCGAGUGGAAUUCCUGGUGUAGCGGUGGAAUGCGCAGAUAUCAGGAGGAACACCAAUGGCGAAGGCAGCUCGCUGGGACGGUACUGACGCUGAGGUGCGAAAGCGUGGGGAGCGAACAGG